UUUCUAAGCUUCUAGCUAUGUAUAUUCUGGCACACACACAAAAAGGAAAGGCAGCUCAGCGACACCUAUAACCUGAUGUUCUAGUUCAUUAAAUGAGAUGUUCCAAAGGGAUUUAAGGCAAUGGGCUAGCAUAGAGUGAUAUCACUGAAAAAGAGGAAAAAGAAAAGAAAAAAGUUCUGUUUUGCUGCACAAUUGUAGAAAAUGAUUUAAAGUUGUACAGUCAGUCAUGGCGCCAGUGAAGUUUGUAUCAGUCUGGGAGAAUGAUGUCACCUCUAUGAACGCUCUGGUCCUUUAUCAGUGGAACAGUGUGAGAGCCAUGUAACGUCCAUGUGUGCUGCUGAAAGAGUCUCUGCUGCUCUGACCGUCCUCCUCCUUUCAGGGUGACGCCUGCUGGAGUCCCAUGGUUGACACCAGGUCUGAGGAAGUAUUCCUGUCAACUCACAGUCGACACAAACACAGUAAACAGAAACCUCAGACUGUCUGACAACAACAGGAAGGUGACGAAUGUGGAGGAGGAUCAGAGGUAUCCUGAUCAUCCAGACAGGUUUGACUGUUAUUAUCAGCUGCUGUGUAGAACUGGUCUGACUGGUCGCUGUUACUGGGAGGUGGAGUGGAGAGGAGAGGUUUAUAUAUCAGUGAGUUACAGAGGAAUCAGAAGGAAAGGAAACAGUGAUGACUGUAGGUUUGGACGUAAUGAUCAGUCCUGGAGUCUGUUCUGCUCUAAUGGUGGUUACUCUGUCAGACACAAUAACAGUAAAACAUCCAUCAGUUCCUCCUCGGUCUCUCACAGAGUUUCAGUUUAUGUGGACGUUCCUGCUGGAACUCUGUCCUUCUACAGAGUCUCCUCUGACUCUCUGAUCCUCCUCCACACCUUCAACACCACAUUCACUGAAACUCUCUAUCCUGGAUUUGGGUUCUUCUGGUCCAGUCCUGGUUCCUCAGUGUCUCUGUGCUGAGUCUCGUCUCCAGAGUCUCCUCCUGGUACAGAAACAGUGUUGAACAGAUGGUUGAGUCUCUCCAUGACUCUGUCCCUCACAAACAUGUUUUCACAUUCAUGGAUUAAAUGUGUUUCUUUGUCAAAUCCUUCUAAAUGAUUCCUUGUAAACUUGUUCCUCUUCAAAGAUGAAGUUGUGAUUCUUCCAGGAGCCAAAUGUGGUGUUUGCGUCUUUUUCCAGUCAAAUGUUGAGAGUGAAAAUCAGGAUGUGGUGUUCCUCUGACGCUCACUGGAACUAAAAGCAUUUGAGCUGCACAAAGUGUGAAAUGAGAGAGGAAGCAGUGAAUCUCCAAACUGCUGACAGACUUUCACACAUUAUUGUCCAGUGAAAAUCAGCUUUUUGUGCAGCCACACUUGAUCCUGAUGUGAGUCUUUAAGUCCUGUUCUAGUGAUGAAAUGAGAACUUCCUUCAUCUGUGUCACUCUUUCCAAAGUAUUCUGUGCUCUUCUGUCAUUUAUGUCUUAUUGAUAGAUCCAUUUUUCAUUUUUACAAUAAAUAAGUGCUUCAAUGUUUUUUCAUCAGUUUUUUUUAUCAGAUUCUGAAUUUCUGGUUUCAUCAACAAAUUCUAUCAGAUUGUAUUUUUCCAUCAAAGCUCCCAUAACCCUAGCUAUCUGUGGAUCAAAAUGUUUUCAGCAUCGAUAUGAUUCCAGUAGAAUUUAAACCCACCAGGACUAUCCAGAUUACAUUGAACUCUGUAAAUUCUACAUUUUUUAGCCUGUUUCAUUCUAUAAAUGUUGUGUUUGGCCGUUAAAGGAGCUUUUCCUCACAUUGUGCUGUAUUUGAACCCUUCCAUGCUCUAAAUUCUUUGAACAGAUCUUGUGCUGUAAUCAAUGUCUAACUUAGUUUUUAUUUUCAUUGCAGUGGUUGAUUUUUCCUGAACAAGAUCAAUGAUUUUAAUACGUCUUUCUCCACUUUUAUUUGCUCUGCCUGUGGCUUUUAAACUAUUCUAACUUUCUUUUUAUUCAAUAAAUGACUAAUAACACA